GAGCUAUAUUUGUUCAUGAAGCGGAAAUGUUCAAGUUUGACUACAAGAUAUCCUACGACGAGUUUGUCAGAACAAUCUACCAUCAUGCACGCCAGUACGAGAUAAAAGUUUCCGAUCCUUAUAAGCAAUGCGUCACUGUCAAUGCGCUCAUCACUAAAGCCAAGGUCGAAGAGAGCAAACGAAACUACGCCAAUGCGUACUACUACGUCAACAAGUGCCUUUUAUUUUUCGAUAAGGAAGAGAACCCGGUUGACUUCACGCAAAGAGAUCCAUCGACAAAGAGGGUCUUUGCUGAGGCUCUUGACCUCGAGGCUAAGUUGAAGCUGAAGGAACUACCGAUCGAGUACAAGGCUAUGAUCGAAGAAAUCGACCGUCGGGAGCCGGAACGCCGUCGCAUCGUAGCCCAGCAGCUGGAGUCGGACAGCGGAGAUGGUGACGGGAACAAGCAGCUUUCUAGGGCUGUAGACAUGCACUUGACAAGACAGCAGCAACUGCUGUCUUCCGAGAACAGCAGCGUAGAUGAGUUGUUGCAGCGACUUCGCUGGGCUUCUGUGCCUGGCACGAGGAACAUUACCCUACGCACGGUCUCCAAUGGCCCGCCUGCUCCUCCUCCAACGUACGACACCGUCUCCAGACCGGAACCGUCUCCAGCGCCAGUAAAUCCCGUGACAGGCGACAGCCACGCUCUCCCUGCCUCAGCCUCACAUAGAAGCUAUACAACCUGUAUCCUGAAUCCUUCAAAUGCCUCUCUGUCAGUGCGACGGAGGGGAAUCGUAAAUUUGGGUAACACAUGCUACAUGAAUAGCGUGCUGCAGGUACUCAAUUCCACGCCAUUAGGCCAGUAUUUUCUCACAGACGCCUAUGUUUCCCACCUGCUUAAUACAAAGGGAAAGCUGACUCGCUUGAUCAACUCAUUUAGCUUCGUUAUCCGUGAGCUCAAUCGUUCCGACUGCAAGUUUUCAGUGAGCGCGUCUCCGUUCAAGUCUGCUCUCGGAGACUACUACGAGGGGUUUCAAAACUCAAGCCAGCAGGAUGCAAACGAGUUUCUACGUGUUGUGCUGGAUGGCAUUCACGGAGCACUGAAUGUGAACGACAGUAAUAGAAUUGAGUUUCCUGAAAUUGACAACUCUAAAGGCACCGAUGACGAACUUGCUCGACGCUACUGGGGGCAGUACUAUCAGAAGAAUUCGUCCGUUAUAGUUGACUACUGCGCGUUUCAAGAGCGAAGCGCGAUUGUCUGCCCCUCCUGUUGCCACCAGUCACGUUCUUUCAAUGUUUCUCUUAGCAUUGAAAUUCCUAUUCCGCGGACCUCGUCAAAGGUUUCACUCGACGACUGCUUUGCCGCGUACUGCCGGGAGGAAAUUCUUGACGACAGCUCGAUGUACAUGUGCCCUAACUGUCACCAGAAGGUGAACGCCCGAAAGCAACUGCUGUUUUAUUCAGCACCACCAGUUCUAUUUAUUACUCUGAAGCGUUUCCGCUGUUACGGUGACUUCACCACCGCCUCAAAAGUCAACUCGAGCGUUUUCUUUAGUAAAACACUGAACAUUGCCUCGUAUAUGUGCUCCAGCUUCUCGAAAACAAAGUACCAUUUGGUGGGUAUUAUCAAUCACCAAGGCAACAUGUAUGGAGGUCACUAUACUGCAGAUGCUGUUGGUGCUGAUGGCGUGUGGUGCCACUUCAGCGAUGAGCAGGUGACAAAAGCGGAAGUGGCAGAUAAUAAUCUUGCCUAUAUUCUCUGCUACGUACGUUGAUCGAACUUCCUCUUUCCCUAACGCUGAACACCUCUUUUUACCUUCCUUGUAAUGCUGCGCAGGUGACAUACUUUUUUGUUAUUUGUUUGCUUUGCUUUCUGUUCUCCUUUUUGUCCCCUCUGAGUGUGGAUAUGUUUUUGCUGUUGCUGCUUUCAUGAGAUUCGGAGAUUGUGGUUCCACUUUAUCGGAGGUUAUAGGCUUGUAAAGCGAGUCAUCGUUCUCUGCAUCUUAGCGACAGUGGGGUUUCAGUGAUU
rnacentral:misc_RNA from 1 species